UUGAAAGGGAAACGAUUGAAGUCAUCUACCNCAAAAUCAACCUUUCAUNNNUUUNAUUUUAAAUUCAAAACCUUUAAUUUCAAAAUAUUCCUCUUUUUUUACUUUCUCUNNAAUUAACAUCNUUUUAUCAUCAUAAAAAAUUNAGAAUUACUUCAUCUUUAUUAAUUUAUACCUUUUUAAAUUNUAUUAAAUCANNUUCAACAAUACCCUUUUGCUAUCCCCUAUCUCUAUACUUCCUUUUAUCAAACUCUUAUAUAUUANUAUUACGUCAAAAAUUAAACAAUUACAUUCGUUAAGGAUGUUGACGUA
rnacentral:rRNA from 1 species